GGGAAGAAGGAGCUUUCUCAGGCUGGAGGGGAGAGAAGACAGAUGAGCACAGACACUCCUGGCAGCGGCAUGAGGGCCGGGGAGCAGGUGCAGGGCACAGCGGGGCUCUGCAGGGCGGUUGUAGUUGGUGAGGACCACUGGAGCAGGGCCUUGAAGGGCGUCACCCCUCACCUGGCUGCCUCUGGGCCAUCCUCCAGUCUGCCAGGGACUAGCAGAGGGGAGAAAGUGGGAGAGGAAUCAUUAUUUGAUGACCUCAUUCAGCCCUAGGGAUUUGGGGUGGCUAAGGUAGAAUGGCAGUGGAUUAUAUCUGACAUGAUGCGGGGUGUCCGGGCUCAGCUGGGCAGUUCUGCUCCCUGUGGUGAUGGGGGGUAAUCAGCAAUCAUUUAGUGGCUUUCCCUGGCCGGGAAUGUUUGAGGUAGCUCACUCACAGGGCUGGCAGGUGGUGCCUGCUCAGUGGUGCCAUCACCCAGGGGCUUCCAGGUGGCUGCCUCACAAGAUGGCAGCUGGGUUCCAAGCAGAAAGGACGCUGUUGAGUUCUUUUUUUUUUUUUUUUUUUUUUGAGACACAGUCUCACUCUGUCACCCAGGCUGGAGUGUAAUGGCGCAGUCUCGGCUCACUGCAACCUCCACCUCCCAGGUUCAAGUGAUUCUACUGCCUCAGCUUCCCGAGUAGCUGGGAUUACAGGUGCCCACCACCACGCCCAGCUAAUUUUGUAUUUUUAGUAGAGACAGGGUUUCACCGUGCUGGCUAGGCUGGUCUCAAACUCCUGACCUCGGGUGAUCUGCCCGCCUCGGCCUCCCCAAGUGCUGGGAUGACAGGUGUAAGCACCAUGCCCAGCCUACUGUCGAGCUCGUAAGACCCUCCCUCAGAAGUCUCAAGGCACCACUUCCCCUGCCUUCUGUUGCUAAAACAGGUCACAGGAGCAGCUACAUUCAGGGGAGGGGAAAUGAACUGUGUCUUUCCGUGGGAGGAGCAGCAAAGAAUCUGUGACCAUCACACCCAGCUUUUGAACCACUUCUUCUUUGUGUCUCAGUGUUUGUGGCAUGCAGCAUCCCUGUUGCCUGGGUCCAGGAUGCCACCCUCCUACUGGGGUUGCAGCACCAAGGGGCUGGGCAUUCCAUCGAGCUGAGGGGUGGGGGCUCUGGAUGGGAGGCUCCCUGGGGGGAGCUCACAUCUUCCAUGAAGCAUCAUGGUCAUUGUUGCCCUGUCCUGCACCCUGUCCACUGCAGGCUGCCCUCUGUGGCUGGCCUUGGUGACAAGAGAUGUGGGAGAGACCCUGGUCACCACCAUGGGAGGAGUCCCCAGGCACCAGGGGCAAAUGAACAGAGUGAAUGCCAGGAGGACCAUUUAGGUGCAAUAUGACCAAAAAUAAGUUAAGUCCAAGUGGGCUGCAUCAUCAACAAGAACAUCCCCCAGCCUCCAUGAAACAGCCCAAAACCUGGAGCAAGACGGUUCCCUGACGCUGAGCGAUGCCAUUCACAGCAGCGUUCCUGAAUACCCCCCAUGCAGGCACUCACAUGCUCACACACACAAUACACAAACCAACACACACCACACACAGGCAUGCCAAACACAGGCACACAAAUACCCAGAGACAGACAUGUGCACACACAUACAUAUGCACACAUGUACGCAGAUACAUAUGACACAAAUGCAUGAACACAUGGACCACACAUACCAACAUGUUACAUCAUAGACAGACACACAAAACACACAAACAUACACCCAUCCAUGGACAUACACACAGACACACACAAACAUCAACACACAGCAUCCCACACAGACACACAAACACACAGCCAUGUACCCUCAAAGGACGCUGCAGGAUGAGCCUUCAUUCUCUGGGACAGCAGAGAAAGUAGACAAAGGAGAGAAACUUCUCUCAGAGUCACCCAUCCUCUGACUGGAUCCCGUGCCCCUGUGAAGAGGCAGAUCCCAGUGCCCCACACUUGGCUCUGGGGC
rnacentral:lncRNA from 10 species